AGCGAGACCACGAACCCACCGGGAGGAACAAACAACUCCGGACGCACCACCUUUAAGAGCUGUAACACUCACUGCGAAGGUCUGCGGCUUCACUCCUGAAGUCAAGCAAGACCACAAACCCACAAGAAGGAAAAAACUCCAGACACAUCUGAACAUCUGAAGGUACAAACUCCAGACACACCAUCUGUAAGAACUGUAACACUCACCACGAGGGUCCGUGGCUUCAUUCUUGAAGUCAGCCAGACCAAGAACCCACCGGAAGGAACCGAUUCCAGACACAGUAUGGUUGGUCCACAAGAGAGGGGAAAUUUGGAUGCAGAGACAAGCAUGCAGGGAGAACGUCAUGUGAAGAUUUGAGUUAUGCUGCCAAAAGCCAAGGACCUACCAGAAGCUAGAAGAGAAGCCUGGAACAGAUCCUUCCUCAGAGUCUUCAGAGGGAACAGGACCCUCCCAGCACAUUGAUCUUGGACGUGUAGUCUCCAGAACUAUGAGACAAUAAAUAUCGGUUGUUUAAGCC
rnacentral:lncRNA from 1 species